rnacentral:rRNA from 1 species
CGACUGCUAAUACCGAAUAAGUUCCAAGAGCCGCAUGGCCCAUGGAAGAAAAGGUGGCCUCUACCUGUAAGCUAUCGCCUGAAGAGGGGUUUGCGUCUGAUUAGCUGGUUGGAGGGGUAACGGCCCACCAAGGCGACGAUCAGUAGCCGGUCUGAGAGGAUGAACGGCCACACUGGAACUGAGACACGGUCCAGACUCCUACGGGAGGCAGCAUG